GGGUUGUGAGGUUAAGCGACUAAGCGUACACGGUGGAUGCCCUGGCAGUCAGAGGCGAUGAAGGACGUGCUAAUCUGCGAUAAGCGUCGGUAAGGUGAUAUGAACCGUUAUAACCGGCGAUUUCCGAAUGGGGAAACCCAGUGUGUUUCGACACACUAUCAUUAACUGAAUCCAUAGGUUAAUGAGGCGAACCGGGGGAACUGAAACAUCUAAGUACCCCGAGGAAAAGAAAUCAACCGAGAUUCCCCCAGUAGCGGCGAGCGAACGGGGAGGAGCCCAGAGUCUGAAUCAGUGUGUGUGUUAGUGGAAGCGUCUGGAAAGGCGCGCGAUACAGGGUGACAGCCCCGUACACAAAAAUGCACAUACUGUGAGCUCGAUGAGUAGGGCGGGACACGUGGUAUCCUGUCUGAAUAUGGGGGGACCAUCCUCCAAGGCUAAAUACUCCUGACUGACCGAUAGUGAACCAGUACCGUGAGGGAAAGGCGAAAAGAACCCCGGCGAGGGGAGUGAAAAAGAACCUGAAACCGUGUACGUACAAGCAGUGGGAGCCUCUUUUAUGGGGUGACUGCGUACCUUUUGUAUAAUGGGUCAGCGACUUAUAUUCUGUAGCAAGGUUAACCGAAUAGGGGAGCCGAAGGGAAACCGAGUCUUAACUGGGCGUUAAGUUGCAGGGUAUAGACCCGAAACCCGGUGAUCUAGCCAUGGGCAGGUUGAAGGUUGGGUAACACUAACUGGAGGACCGAACCGACUAAUGUUGAAAAAUUAGCGGAUGACUUGUGGCUGGGGGUGAAAGGCCAAUCAAACCGGGAGAUAGCUGGUUCUCCCCGAAAGCUAUUUAGGUAGCGCCUCGUGAAUUCAUCUCCGGGGGUAGAGCACUGUUUCGGCAAGGGGGUCAUCCCGACUUACCAACCCGAUGCAAACUGCGAAUACCGGAGAAUGUUAUCACGGGAGACACACGGCGGGUGCUAACGUCCGUCGUGAAGAGGGAAACAACCCAGACCGCCAGCUAAGGUCCCAAAGUCAUGGUUAAGUGGGAAACGAUGUGGGAAGGCCCAGACAGCCAGGAUGUUGGCUUAGAAGCAGCCAUCAUUUAAAGAAAGCGUAAUAGCUCACUGGUCGAGUCGGCCUGCGCGGAAGAUGUAACGGGGCUAAACCAUGCACCGAAGCUGCGGCAGCGACGCUUAUGCGUUGUUGGGUAGGGGAGCGUUCUGUAAGCCUGUGAAGGUGUGCUGUGAGGCAUGCUGGAGGUAUCAGAAGUGCGAAUGCUGACAUAAGUAACGAUAAAGCGGGUGAAAAGCCCGCUCGCCGGAAGACCAAGGGUUCCUGUCCAACGUUAAUCGGGGCAGGGUGAGUCGACCCCUAAGGCGAGGCCGAAAGGCGUAGUCGAUGGGAAACAGGUUAAUAUUCCUGUACUUGGUGUUACUGCGAAGGGGGGACGGAGAAGGCUAUGUUGGCCGGGCGACGGUUGUCCCGGUUUAAGCGUGUAGGCUGGUUUUCCAGGCAAAUCCGGAAAAUCAAGGCUGAGGCGUGAUGACGAGGCACUACGGUGCUGAAGCAACAAAUGCCCUGCUUCCAGGAAAAGCCUCUAAGCAUCAGGUAACAUCAAAUCGUACCCCAAACCGACACAGGUGGUCAGGUAGAGAAUACCAAGGCGCUUGAGAGAACUCGGGUGAAGGAACUAGGCAAAAUGGUGCCGUAACUUCGGGAGAAGGCACGCUGAUAUGUAGGUGAAGUCCCUUGCGGAUGGAGCUGAAAUCAGUCGAAGAUACCAGCUGGCUGCAACUGUUUAUUAAAAACACAGCACUGUGCAAACACGAAAGUGGACGUAUACGGUGUGACGCCUGCCCGGUGCCGGAAGGUUAAUUGAUGGGGUCAGCGCAAGCGAAGCUCUUGAUCGAAGCCCCGGUAAACGGCGGCCGUAACUAUAACGGUCCUAAGGUAGCGAAAUUCCUUGUCGGGUAAGUUCCGACCUGCACGAAUGGCGUAAUGAUGGCCAGGCUGUCUCCACCCGAGACUCAGUGAAAUUGAACUCGCUGUGAAGAUGCAGUGUACCCGCGGCAAGACGGAAAGACCCCGUGAACCUUUACUAUAGCUUGACACUGAACAUUGAGCCUUGAUGUGUAGGAUAGGUGGGAGGCUUAGAAGUGUGGACGCCAGUCUGCAUGGAGCCGACCUUGAAAUACCACCCUUUAAUGUUUGAUGUUCUAACGUUGACCCCUAAUCGGGGUUGCGGACAGUGUCUGGUGGGUAGUUUGACUGGGGCGGUCUCCUCCUAAAGAGUAACGGAGGAGCACGAAGGUUGGCUAAUCCUGGUCGGACAUCAGGAGGUUAGUGCAAUGGCAUAAGCCAGCUUGACUGCGAGCGUGACGGCGCGAGCAGGUGCGAAAGCAGGUCAUAGUGAUCCGGUGGUUCUGAAUGGAAGGGCCAUCGCUCAACGGAUAAAAGGUACUCCGGGGAUAACAGGCUGAUACCGCCCAAGAGUUCAUAUCGACGGCGGUGUUUGGCACCUCGAUGUCGGCUCAUCACAUCCUGGGGCUGAAGUAGGUCCCAAGGGUAUGGCUGUUCGCCAUUUAAAGUGGUACGCGAGCUGGGUUUAGAACGUCGUGAGACAGUUCGGUCCCUAUCUGCCGUGGGCGCUGGAGAACUGAGGGGGGCUGCUCCUAGUACGAGAGGACCGGAGUGGACGCAUCACUGGUGUUCGGGUUGUCAUGCCAAUGGCACUGCCCGGUAGCUAAAUGCGGAAGAGAUAAGUGCUGAAAGCAUCUAAGCACGAAACUUGCCCCGAGAUGAGUUCUCCCUGACUCCUUGAGAGUCCUGAAGGAACGUUGAAGACGACGACGUUGAUAGGCCGGGUGUGUAAGCGCAGCGAUGCGUUGAGCUAACCGGUACUAAUGAACCGUGAGGCUUAACCUUACAACGCCGAAG
rnacentral:rRNA from 1 species